UGCAAAAUCAAAGUUUCAUUAUACAGCCCUCCUGGUAGAUACUUGGAGGAAUUACAACACACUUCAGCAUGUUUUGAAAUGGCCUUUUUCCUGCCCAUAUUUUACAAAGGCAUAAUUGCGUAGUGGGAGCCUUUGGAAAUUUUAAGUAUCUUCUGUGAACGUGGAGCAAUGCAGACAUGUUGGCCAAGCUGAUCAUUUUUGUGGUGGAUCUCACACUUGUUUUGGCCAUUUUUGCUAUCCUCUAUGCUGUUUACUUAAUAGCAACUGCAGGUAUUUUCAUCUUGGCCGUUUUCUAUAUUGUCAAAAGGAUGAACAAAAAUUGUGACUCCAGCAAGGACAUCUGGGUGCUGGAUUCCAGCACUGCUACCGGGAAACCAUUUGCCAGCAACAUAGGGGGAGUCAGGUCCAGGAUGCUCCCUGUCCAUGUUCCAGCAACAAGAGGAGAGGCUUUCUUGCCCGAGAAGUGUGGUUCUGUCUUCUAGAAAGCAAGGAGCUAUCUGUGGUGGAGGAAGACCUGCCCACUCAACCAAGAGGUCAUUCAAGCUGCUAUCUACACAUGAAUAACAAAGAAAUGCUCAUAAACAAGCAGAAAUACCCAGGAGGCAUGAAGAGUUAUAAUACUUCAAAAAUGUGUGUCUUGUGACAGCACAGCCACAGAAACGGUAGAUUUUAGAACUCUAAAAACUCAACCUUGAAGAGAUAAAAAUGCUAUCCGACAACACAGUACUGAAACUUAACGAAAUGCCUCUGGAGCUUGAAAUACCUAGAGCUGCCAAAAUAUUCAAGAAUGAAAUUGAAAAAUGUUUCUUCAAAACGCCUUAGCUAACCAAACGUGAGCAUAUUUGCCAUCAUGGCAAAAGUGACUACUGCUUUUGCUGGUCUCAGCCUGGGCCAGGUGGGGCAUCCUUCACUGUCUGACUGAAGACAGUGUGAAGGCCAUGCUUCCUUCUACUCUGACCAGAUGUGAUUUGUCUCUCCACCAUAACAUCCUGUCAAUAACCGUACUUGCCACACAUCACAUUCUCUGUUUUACUUGCUUCAGUUACUUGUAGUUUUUCCUAUUUCAUCCUUAGAUUAUUCUCUUUAAGUUUAUUUGAGAGAGAGAGAGAGAAAGAGAGAGAGAGAGUGAGAGAGAGAGAGAGAGAACACACAAGUGCGAGUGCAGGGGAGAGGCAGAGAGAGAAUCCCAAGCAGUCUUGGUGCUGCCAGCAAAACCUUGAUGGGGGGCUCAAACCCACGAACCGUGAGAUCAUGACCUGAGCCAAACAAAGUCAGAUGCUCAACCCAUGGAGCCACCCAGGUGCCCCAAUCCUUAGACUGUCCUUAUGCUAUAGCAGCUGCAUCUCAGCUGCUCUGUAUUGUCAACAGUGCCCACCCAAGUGCUGUGAAUAUUCAUAAGCUUUUCUUAAAUCCCCACAAAAUCUACAGCCACAGGGAUCAAUGCUGUAUAAUCCAAGUAAAGAUGAAAAUGAAUGAGGAGGACCGUCAGCUGAGGAAUGAGCUUAACAGAGUUCUCAAAAAUUCAACAGGAAGGAGCUGAUGUUCGAGUCCUAAACAUCUGUUCACAUCUUUACAAGUGGUUAAUUCCUUAAGAGUAGUGAAAUCAGUGGCUGAAUCCUAGUUUUAAGAAUUCUAGUUUCCAUCUUUGUUUAUUGGAAGUGAAGAUGAGACUCUGACAGUGUCAGAAGAGCAGUUGGGCUGAGAAGGUGUCAGAGGAGCCAUUGGGAAAGGAGAAACAUGGGAAGCUUGGCAUCCUGGAAUGUGGACCAGCACUGGAUUCUCAGAAAGCUGAGCUGGACACAAGAGUGUGUAUCAAGGAAGUUUACUUUGGGAAGUUUCAUCCCAAGGAACUGGAUUGAGAGACUGGAAAGAGGAAUACAAGGAAGGUGUGUUAUGAAGCUCAACAAAACUGUGGGCAGUUGGGGCUUCAUCCUCCAGGGGGCACUCUGAGAAGGUGUGGAGCAUACACUGCAAAGUUGUCCACCAGAAGGACAAAGAGAAACGAUCCAUCGGCUUUCUUUUCCCACUGGUCAAGAGUGAUGGGAGGCAGGGGGAUGAUGGUGUUCAUGACUUUGCACUUCCAGGAUUGCCCAUGAUUCAGAAUAGCUGAAUGGUUUCCAGAAGUUAUCUUUUUUUUAAUGUUUAUUUUAUUUUUGAGAGAGAGUGCACUAGUUGGGGGGAGUGGCAGAGAGAGGAGGAUGACAGGAUCAGAAGCAGGCUCUGCACUGACAGCAGACCCCGAUGUAGUGCCUGAACUCAUGAACCAUGAGAUUGUGACCUGAGCUAAAGUCAGACGCUUAACCAACUGAGCCACCCAGGAGCCCCUCCAGGAAGUAUCUUAAGAGAUGUCAUAAGAAAAGGUCCAGAGCAGAAAGCAAAAGAUAGAUGUGGCCAUUGAUGUAGGGUGCUGGCAGGUGACACCUUCACCAAGCUGGGUGCUGUAAAAAGGCGGGCAGAGAGGAUGUGAUCUAAGACACAAGAGGAUGCUGACACAAGCUUGUAGAAGCACAUGAGUCUAAUGCAGAUCUGUCUGCCCUGGAAAUAAUGAGCACAGGUUGAUAACCAUCCCUUCUGAACAACAGUCUGUGAACGGAGCCCAAAGACCAAUAGGUAGCCAGAGAGAGAAAGUAGAUGGGGAGUGGAAGAAGCUAGGGCAUUGGGAACAUUGCCCUUGCCUAGAACCAAACUCCACCUUCUCUAUGCUUCAAACACAGACCAACAUGUAGGUUGGAGUUUUUCUUUCUCUCUCCUUAUGUCUUUGAUAUUUGGUUGCUACUUAUUUUAACUUGCCAGCUCUAACAGAGAGCAAUGCCAUCUGCCAGCCAUUUUUUAUCUGCUCAUUAAGUUACUUUAAUGGCUUUAGGUGCUCUGAGUUUUAGGGAAAGCUCUCAGCUUUUUCUGCUCAUAACCAAUCUUCGUUUGGGUUAUUCCAAAAGCUGCCCCUGAGGAAAGGAUGUGGGUCCAAGUGGUCUACUUGGGAGGUGACCCCAGGAGGUGCUGUGAGUGGGGAGGGAGGGAGGGAAAGAAGGCAGCCGGUGCAGGUGUGUGCAUGAGCAGGUUAGCGGUAUCCAACUUUUCUGGGAGUAUGCCCCACUGAGUGACAGGGUAACUGGCGUGUAUGCGCACUGAGUCCAGUUCCUAAUUAGUUGAAGUUUACUACUGGGAGCAUUAAGCUGACUGUAGCCCUAAGCUGCCCUCCACACAGGCAGACAGAACAUACUUCCCUAGUGCCAAGGAAGCCUCCAGGCAGAGAAAGCAAGCAGAGAAGUGUGGCUGGUUGAGGUGGAGGGGGUGGGUGGCUACUACCGCUAUAAUGAAUCUAGAAGAUGGCAGAAGACAUCUACAUCAGGGCAAUGGUAGUAGCUCCUACAAUACACUCUGAAAUUAUUUUGCGAAGGGCAAAAUGUCCAAACAUGGAGAAAAACAACAGCAACCACCUCCGUGUGGCAUCUAGAUGGAAAGAAUAGUCGAUUAGUACAGGGUAGGAAGGAAUUAAAAUCAGCUUUGAAACUGAGGUCAUUUUUAAAACUGCAGACAAAACAUUCAAAACAGCAUUGAAUCUCCUUAAUAAAAAUUCCCUUGCUAUUACUGAAGAACACAUUGGGAAAGAAACCAACAUGUUUAUUGCUCUGGCCUAUAAACAAAGGACUUCACCAACCCCUGUUAAAUAUCAACCGCUUGGCUCUGUUUCUCUAUGAACACCCAGAAACCGGAAACCUGGGAGCUUUUGAUUCUCUUGUACUAGUUAUUGUUCUGGACCACCAGCAGGGUGGAGUCACUCAAAGAUGAGAGGCAGUUUAACCUAUUUUUUUCCUCCACCCGAUGCUUUCCAUUGGAAAAGCUUAAUGAAAACGUGCCAUGGAUUUAGGGGAUUUCACCAUGGUUAGAAGACUGCACAGAGCACAAAAGAGAGGCUACGAAGCAAAUACUUUCAGUGGCUUCAUACGUUAAAAAUUCACCCCAAUUCUUCAUUUUCUGUACUCACCUCUGCCACAGCCUUUCAGUGAGCUGAGACAGCCCCUCCUUCGGAUCUGGGCUUGGCCACAUAACUUGCUUUAAACAAUGUUAAUGGACAUGACAAAAACCCAAAUGUUGGGCUUGUCUUCGUGGCAUUUGUGAUCUUCUGUGAGAAGAAUAUGUUCUAAGUAACUGCCACCCCUCCCUCAGCCCAGAAUGAAAGAGGGAGCUGACUUGACCCCAAUCCCAGCCAGGAGCUUCCAUGAUGAAACACAACACCUGAAGCAAAGCUGCCCAGCCAAGCCCGUUCUAGAUGAGAUCAGAGCAGUCAACCUGAGAACUCAAGCAUGCAGACAGCUGCUUAUGGUUGUAACCUGCUGAAUCUGGAGGUGAAUUUAUUAUGCAACAUUAUUGAGGCAUUGUAAUCUUUCUCAAUAAAUACCAAAGUAUCCAAUA